GGGAGUGGGAGGGCUGAAAAGGUAGUAUGUUAACAGGACUGUUAGUUUUCUAAUGAAACUCUUGAGAAAGCAGUGUGACAGACAUCAUGAGCCCUGUGGGAAGCCAGCAGCCCCUCAUUCCCCAUUCCUAGUUCAGUUGGGAUUGGGCUGUGCUCUGCAGGUUCUCCUCAUGGGGCCUGCUGGGACCCGCCAUCUCUGAGGGGGAACCAGUCUUUUUCCCCAUGGUUCCAGCCUAAGUCCUGCAGAAGGCUGUCACUGGUGAGAUCUGGUCAUGUGGCCCCACCCACAAGUCAGACCCACAGAGGCACUUGGACAGAGGGUGAGAAUGGGGUAGGAGAUCUUCCAUUAUGAAAAGUCAGUGUUAUGAAUAGGAGGGAGGCUGGGCAGGAGAAAGCAACUGAUGUCUGCCACAUCCAGUCAGUGGGUACUUGAGGAAUUUCAAUACAAUUCAAAAUGGAAUCAGGGUGACCUGGGCCUGCUCUUGGGCAGGUGGACCUGGAGUAUGACUGCACCCAGUGGUAGUGGAACCACAUGUCAAUAUUGCCCUUGUUAUUGCCCCUGAGUACUUCUUUCACUUCCCCUCAUAGCUCUUCCACCACUAGGGCUAGGCAGGGAGCUUGAGUCUCAUUCUCUGAGGGAAGGACGCAGCCUGGGCCAAGAAGACACUGCUCAGCUUGAGUUUCAAAGUGACUCUCUUUACUCAUAGCAAGAUGAGAAAUCAAGCUCUCAAGAGUAGAAAAGGGCUAAUGUGUUUUUAUGUAUCAUGGACCAAAGUUCAGAGACGUGACCACAGUGGGAGAGAACAGUGAGAAAGGGCCCUGCUGACUACACAGGGAGGCGUCAAGCCCUUCAGGGCUGACUGGAGUGGGGCUUGGAUCAGGAGAGAGAGAGACGAUUUAGACAUAAGUGACCUCAUGGGCUGGCAGCUAGUGCCACACAGUGCCCCAAAGACCACACAGGUCCUUCAGUGGAUGCCAACAUAGAAUGCCUGUGUCUUGGGGUGCCAAGCCACCAGCAUCUGAGGAACUAUACGCUCAUCCCUGCUCUCUGGGUCCUUUCCAAGCAGAGGAAAGACGGUGCUGUCUGAGGGGUGUGGCUGCUUGAGACCUUGUCACAUAGCUGGCCACCAGUCUUACUCACCACUCCUCCUUUCUGGUGCUCUCAAGGUCACUCCAGCCAAAAAAUGGCCAUCUGCUCUCCAGGUCAAAGUGGUGCAUGGAAGGGAUCAGAUGACAUCCCAGCCAAGGACUUCUAAGGGAACAGGCAGCAGCAGAGGAUGGCGUAUCCUCCACAGCUGUCAUGCCCAGCCUUGUCCUGAAGAUGCUGGGAGCAGGACAGGCCCGGCUCUGACCCUACUUGAGGGAGGCUUUAGGCAAGAAACUUCCCCUAUGAGGCUUUGGGUUCCUCAUGACUGGAACGGAGCUCACCAGCUCUGCUCCUCUCCAGGUGAGGACAAACACAGGCCCCCCCCAACUGUCACUGUUCAUUAUGAUUAGUGACUGCAGGUUACAGGGAUUUUGGCAACCCUUCUACAGGCAGGAUGGGUCAGGGUUCUCAGGUGACACAGUGUGACAGGGACCGGUGCAGCUCCAGCUGUUUAUGGCAUAGGAGGCUCAUAUAGCAGAGGACUCAGCCACUGGAAGAGCUGAGGGGUCUGUGGGGGGACUCAGGAGGUAGGAGGGGGGGAAUGUGAGGGGGACUGCGGGGUGAGACUAAGGGGUGACUCAGUCAGCUCAGGCUGCUGUAACAAAAUACCUUCAACUGGGUGGCUUAUAAACAGUAAAUAUUGGCUGGGCACGGUGGCUCACACCUGUA
rnacentral:lncRNA from 1 species